rfam:Hordeum vulgare subsp. vulgare, WGS project CAJW01000000 data, contig: morex_contig_1566592
UUAAUACUCCCUCCAUCCGGAAAUACUUGUCGGAGGAAUGGGUGUAUCUAGAUGUAUUUUAUUUCUAGAUACAUCCAUUAUUAUUCACUUUUGUGACAAGUAAUUUCGGAUGGAGGGGAGUAAAUA